GGCAGCAGGAGGGCGAGGAGGCUGGUUGGUUCCUGCUGCGGGAGCGAGCACAGGGACGGGAUCCCCGUGGGAGCCCGCCUGCUGCACGACCCUCCGCGGCCCUACUCGAACCCUACUCGAACCCUCCUCGAACCAGGGAUGCAGACAGAGGAUGACCCCGAGCCGGGCCCACAGUGGAGGCGUGCACUAAAUAAAGGACGUUCAAUGAGGAAACUCGGGCACUGGGAAGUUAAGAACUGGACCCAGGCACAGAGCUGGUAAGUGGAGGUGCUGGGAUCCCACCUACUGCGUUCUUCAGCAUGAGGGCUGCGGGGUGGUCCAGUCUGCUGGGAGCCGAGCUGCACAGGGUGAAGACAGGAUUCCAGGCGUCUGCCCAGCCGGAGGUUUCUCCGAGACCCACAGAGCAGGUGACUCGGCCCGGGGGCCUGAGGUUGAGCCGGGGGGUGGGUGAGGUUCUGGGGGACUCUGGAGGGUGGAACGAGCAGGAAGUGGACACUCCCCAGAAAAGUCAUCCACCUUCGGGAGGCGAGAUCCUAUUCACGUGAGUGGUCUAUGCCAGUUUUUUCUUCAGCCAGCACCACAGGCAGCUGAGACCUGCAAUUCCUUCUGAAUGUCCCCACAGCUUCUUCACCUCCUCGAGAAGAUGUUUGGAGCAAGAAAUUUUCACACGGGCCAAAGAAUUAUGAGAAAAGCCCAGUGAACCCUUGGCCAAGCCCCUCCCCUUCUCGGGCCUUAGCUUCCCCCUCGCUCUAAUGGGGUGGCCAAGAGAGGGGGCACAGAUGCCAGGAACAGAGCCCUCGCCCAGUGGCCUGCACGUGUCAAAUGGGGUGGAGAAAGCAGCUGCGGCCGUAUUGGGCCCAUGGGGACACACACUUGUUCCAGAACCAGCAAUUUGGCUCUACUACCCACAGACACUGAGACCUCGGCUAGGAAGACCUUGGCAUCUGAGAAUCCCAUGUGUCGACCCCAGCCCUGGCCCACCAGGUUUGGCACCCCUCUCCCCGCCCAGGGGGUGUCACUGCAGGCUGUCACUGCAAAGGCCAGGCUGUCACUGCAAAGGCCAGGAUGUCUCAGAGUUCUGCCAUGUUUAGCUGUGCUACUGCUUAUUUUUGACUGAUGUUUACUCAUCCAUCUGCUUAGUAUAAAAUGGACUUUCAUCAGGGUUCGGGUUUGCAUUUCCCUGGGUACUGAUGAGGCUAGACAUCUUUCCAUUUGUGUCGGGCUGUUCUUGUAAGUUCCCUUCCAAGUCGUGUGCCUAUUUUCCUAUCAGGCUGUUUGUCUUUCUUGGGAACUGGUGAGAGUUCUUUACGUAUUCUAUUAUUAUUAUUAUUUUUUUUUUUUAAGUAGGCUCCAUGCUCAACGUGAGGAUCGAACUCACAACCCCGAGAUCAAGAGUCACAUGUGCUCUACUGACUGAGCCAGCCAGACACUCCGAGUUUUUUACAUAUUCUAGAUGGUAAUCCUUUGUUGGUUAUGUCUGACAGAUACCUUCUCCCAGUUUUGUAUUGUCCUUCCAUUUUCUUUAUGGUGUCCUGUUUUUAAUUUUAUAUAUUUACAUAAUUUCAGACUUACAUAGAAAAGUUGCAGAAGUAGUGUAAAGAAUUUCUUCAUACUCUUUACCCAGAUUCCCCAAAUGUUAAUAUUUUAUCAUAUUUGCAUCCUCUUCCUCUCUUUCUAUAAUAUUAUAUAUAUAAUACAUACACACACACACACACUUUUUUCUCUUCUCUCCCUGCCCCUUCCUCCCAGACACUUGAGAGUAAGGGACAGGGGCAGAAUGAUGCCUUUUCCCACCUAAAUACUUCGGUGUAUAUUUUCUAAAAAUAAGAGCAUUCCCUUAUACGUAAAUAUAACAUUGAACAAGUCUCAAAUUUAAGAAAUUAACACUAGUACACUACCAUUAUCUAAUCUACAGACCCUAUUCCGAUUUCAGCAGUUUUCCUAGUGAUGUCCUUUGGUGCACAAGAAAAUCCCAUAUCAUGUGUUUCAUUCCAUUGUUAUGUCUCUCUAGUGUCCUUCAGUUUGAAACAGCAUUUCUUUGUGUUUCAUAACACUGACAUUUUUGAAGAUUAUAAACCAGUCAUGUCAUCAAACCCUUAAUGUAGGUUUGUCUAACUUUGAUUCAAGAUUAAAGCAAUGCAUUUUUGAGGCUUUGUCCUCAAUGCCUCAUACCUAAAAGCACAUGACGUCGAUUUACCCCAUUGCUGGUGAUACUAAAUUCCAUCACUUAGUUAAAGUGGAGUCUAUCAAGUUUCUUCAUUUGAAAGUUACUAUUUUUCCCUUUGUAAUUAAUAAGUAUAUCGUGGGGAGAUACUAUGGGACUAUAUAAUUGCUGUGUUCCUUUAUUUCUUAAGUUCACUAGUUUUAUGUCCAUUGAUGAUUUUGCCUGAAUUAUUAAUAUGAUGGUUGCUGAAGAGUGGUUUUCUAAUUUCUUCCUUCCUAAUAAAUCUAGCAGUUGGCUUUCG